rnacentral:rRNA from 1 species
CCUACGGGGGGCAGCAGUGAGGAAUAUUGGUCAAUGGACGAGAGUCUGAACCAGCCAAGUAGCGUGAAGGAUGACUGCCCUAUGGGUUGUAAACUUCUUUUAUAUGGGAAUAAAAUGUUCCACGUGUGGGAUUUUGUAUGUACCAUAUGAAUAAGGAUCGGCUAACUCCGUGCCAGCAGCCGCGGUAAUACGGAGGAUCCGAGCGUUAUCCGGAUUUAUUGGGUUUAAAGGGAGCGUAGGUGGAUUGUUAAGUCAGUUGUGAAAGUUUGCGGCUCAACCGUAGAAUUGCAGUUGAAACUGGCAGUCUUGAGUACAGUAGAGGUGGGCGGAAGUCGUGGUGUAGCGGUGAAAUGCUUAGAUAUCACGAAGAACUCCGAUUGCGAAGGCAGUUCACUGGACUGUAACUGACACUGAGGCUCGAAAGUGUGGGUAUCAAACAGGAUUAGAUACCCUUGUAGUC